CAUGUGGUCGGUUGCGCGCUGCCGACCCCCAGCGAUGAGCAGCCCAAGAUCUACCGCAUGAAGCUCUGGGCCACCAACGAGGUCCGCGCCAAGUCCAAGUUCUGGUACUUCCUGAGGAAGCUCAAGAAGGUGAAGAAGGCCAACGGCCAGCUGCUCGCCAUCAACGAGAUCUUUGAGAAGAACCCAA